rnacentral:tRNA from 1 species
AGACUUAGGAUGAUACUAAAACCGAGGGCCUUCAAAGCCCUAAACAAGAGCACCAGCCUCUUAGCCUCUGCACU